rnacentral:lncRNA from 1 species
GGACAAUCUGCUGGCUGCCCGCGGGCGUUCAGAAAGGGUCCUGUCAGUUCCACCUCCUAGCCUGCCUGCGCCCAUUCCCAUGGAGCUAGGGGGGGCCGCGUCAAGGGGAACCGGAGGAGGGUGCUCCUCCUGCACCAAUUGUGGUCGACGAGGACACACGGCCGACCGGUGCUGGGGGGGUCCCUCUGGGAGUCGAAGGCAGGCAGAACACUCCUCGUCCAUCUCAGGAAGCUCAGUCCGGCGGAGCGGAACUAUGAUGUGGGGGACCGUGAGUUGUUGGCUCUAGUCAAGGCUCUGACAGUGUGGAGACACUGGCUUGAGGGGGCUAGACACCCUUUUCUCAUCUGGACUGACCACCGGAACCUGGAGUAUAUCCGGGCAGCCCGGAGACUGAAUCCGCGUCAGGCACGGUGGGCCAUGUUCUUCACCCGAUUUCAGUUCAGGAUUUCGUAUAGACCAGGUUCCAUGAACACCAAGGCCGACGCGCUGUCCCGCCUCUAUGACACUGAGGAUCGGCCCAUCGAUCCUACUCCCAUCCUUCCAGCCUCUAAGCUGGUAGCACCAGUGGUAUGGGAGGUGGACGCGGACAUUGAGCGGGCGUUACAGGUGGAGCCUGCGCCUUCGAACUGUCCUACAGGCCGUAAGUACGUUCCGCUUGGUGUCCGUGAUCAAUUGAUUCGAUGGGCUCAUACACUACCCUCCUCGGGUCAUCCUGGGGUGGCGUGGACAGUGCGAGGCCUUAGGGGGAAGUACUGGUGGCCCACCUUGGCUAAGGACGUGAGGUUUUAUGUCUCUUCCUGUUCGGUAUGCGCCCAGAGCAAGGCUCCUAGGCACCUUCCGAGAGGGAAGUUACAACCCCACCCCGUUCCACAAAGGCUGUGGACUUCCUUACCGAUCUUCCCCCGUCUCAGGGGAAUACCACGGUUCUGGUAGUUGUGGAUCGGUUCUCUAAGUCCUGCCAUCUCCUCCCGCUGCCCGUUCUCCCUACGGCCCUGCAGACUGAGGAGGCCCUAUUCAC